GGGAGCUUGGUGUAACGGUACCACGCGCCAGCUUAGAAGCGACCAGUACGGCGGCCUGUCGCGCGCGCUGAGGACUAGCAUUCGUGGCGAGACGGGAGUUCGAUCCUCCCAGCUUCCC